rnacentral:lncRNA from 1 species
CUUUCUUUCUUUCUUUCUUUUUGUACUAGGGAUUGAGCCCAGGGACACUUAACCACUGAGCCACAUCCCCAGCCCUUUUUUGUAUUUUACUUAGAGACAGGAUCUUGCUGGGUUGCCUAGGGCCUUGCUGAGUUGCUGAGGCUGGCUUUGAACCCAAGAUCCUCCUGCCUCAGCCUCCAGAGCCACUGGGAUUACAGGUGUGUGCCACUUAAAUGAAUCCUUAUACAGGACUAUCCACAGCAAGCCUGUUCACCACAGGAGGAAACAACCCAAACACUCACCAGCAGACGAAUAGAUAAACAAAGCAUGGUCCAUCCACACGGUGGAGUAUCACUCAGUCAUGAAAAGGCACAGAACACCAACCCAGGCUACAAUGUGGACGAACCGCAGAGACAUGACGCGGAGUGGCAGGAGCCAGACACAAAAGGCCACAUGGCGUGUGACUCUUGAUACGAAAUGUCCAGAAGGAGAAAAACCCAUAUAGACAGAGAGCACACCAGUGAUUGCCAGGAGCUGCGAGAAGGAAGUUGGGAGUGACUGCUGAUGGGGACCGGGUCUCCUGGGAUGGUGGACAUGUUCUAGGCCACUUUAUUGUUCUUUGAAAGGACAAAGCGUCUGCCAUCUGAUCCUCAGCUCCAUUAGAAGGUGGCCGCUGGCUCUGGCUGCUCACCGGGCUUGGCCCUCUCCUUGGGCAGGUUGCUCCCCUCCCUCCCUGGCCUAGCUUCCCCUUCCACCCUCCUGCAGACUCCCCAAGGGCAAGGUAGGUCCUGCUGGUUCCCUCGGUGUCCCCAGCACCAACACGGAGAUGCACUCGCAGCGAAGCCAAGUAGAUGGUCACUAAGUGAAUAAAUGACUUUAGCCGGAU